AUUGAACGCUGGCGGCAGGCCUAACACAUGCAAGUCGAACGGUAGCACAGAGGAGCUUGCUCCUUGGGUGACGAGUGGCGGACGGGUGAGUAAUGUCUGGGAAACUGCCCGAUGGAGGGGGAUAACUACUGGAAACGGUAGCUAAUACCGCAUAACGUCGUAAGACCAAAGAGGGGGACCUUCGGGCCUCUUGCCAUCGGAUGUGCCCAGAUGGGAUUAGCUAGUAGGUGGGGUAACGGCUCACCUAGGCGACGAUCCCUAGCUGGUCUGAGAGGAUGACCAGCCACACUGGAACUGAGACACGGUCCAGACUCCUACGUGAGGCAGCAGUGGGGAAUAUUGCACAGUGGGCGCAAGCCUGAUGCAGCCAUGCCGCGUGUAUGAAGAAGGCCUUCGGGUUGUAAAGUACUUUCAGCGAGGAGGAAGGCGUUGUGGUUAAUAACCGCAACGAUUGACGUUACUCGCAGAAGAAGCACCGGCUAACUCCGUGCCAGCAGCCGCGGUAACAC
rnacentral:rRNA from 1 species